rnacentral:lncRNA from 1 species
GAAGAUUGAAGACUCAGCAAAGGCGAGGAGUUGUAGUGUCAGGAAAGGCUUCGACGAGGAUGUCGAAGGAAUAAGUGGGGGAGAAUGUCACAAACAAACUUCUAAACAGGAUGUUUGAUGUAAUGCUUAUGCAUGUCCGUGUCUUUUGGUAUGUUCAUACUUUGCCUAGCAUGUAGAGGGAUAGCCGAAGGCUUAAUAGUCCCAUUUUAGUUGGGUUUGGUGGUCAUUUUAGGCUUGUAAAUAAAGGUUGUGUCAUGUGGACACUCGUGAGAG